UACGUAGGUCCCGAGCGUUGUCCGGAUUUAUUGGGCGUAAAGCGAGCGCAGGUGGUUUAUUAAGUCUGGUGUAAAAGGCAGUGGCUCAACCAUUGUAUGCAUUGGAAACUGGUAGGCUUGAGUGCAGGAGAGGAGAGUGGAAUUCCAUGUGUAGCGGUGAAAUGCGUAGAUAUAUGGAGGAACACCGGUGGCGAAAGCGGCUCUCUGGCCUGUAACUGACACUGAGGCUCGAAAGCGCGGGGAGCAAACAGG
rnacentral:rRNA from 1 species